CUUUCUUCCAUUUCCUCCUCUUCUGCCUGGAUGUCUUCUAAGAAUACUCACUACACUCCUUGCAUUAACUGAAGUUUGGCUUUCCCUGGGGCCACAGAUUCUCCUGGGGCUGGAAAGAGCAGAGGUUGUUCACUCCCUGGAGCCCAAGUGACUUAGGAGAGGAAAAGAGAGGACCGCAGCAUGUUCUUUGACCUUCAUUGCCACUCUCAUUAUUCUUCUACCCUUGCAGAAAAUCUCCAUCUGUUUGGAGAAGUACUGCGUCCUUCCGGAUUAUCUUCUACACUAUGCCUUAUUGUUAUCUGGCUGGUUCCACCACCGGUCAGAAGAAUGAAAAUUGCAGAUACCUAUUCUGUGUGUUUCUCUCCAGAAUGGUGGAUGUUAGAGACCCUACUAAGGAUUUGUGGACUCACUAACGUAGUCUCUAAAAGGUAAG
rnacentral:lncRNA from 1 species